rnacentral:rRNA from 1 species
UACGUAGGUGGCAAGCGUUAUCCGGAUUUACUGGGUGUAAAGGGCGUGUAGGCGGGGAAGCAAGUCAGAUGUGAAAACCACGGGCUCAACCUGUGGCCUGCAUUUGAAACUGUUUUUCUUGAGUACUGGAGAGGCAGACGGAAUUCCUAGUGUAGCGGUGAAAUGCGUAGAUAUUAGGAGGAACACCAGUGGCGAAGGCGGUCUGCUGGACAGCAACUGACGCUGAGGCGCGAAAGCGUGGGGAGCAAACAGG